rnacentral:tRNA from 1 species
GGUGUCGUGGCAGAGUGGUUAAGGCGAUGGACUAGAAAUCUUUUGAGAUCUUCCCGCCCAGGUUCGAAUCCUGCCGACAUCG